GGAAAAGGGAGUCUACACUGUUCAAAUUUACACGAUCUGCAUUGGAGUCAUUUUCCUGAAGGCAGUUUAAGGGUUGAGGAAUACGGCGAAUGUCUGAAAGACGAGUAUAUAUUUUAAAAACAGGGGCGUAGGUACAUGGUUUAAUAGAAAAAUACUAGCAGAUAUAACUGAUUUUUUCAGAUGUCACACUAUUGCAACUAAAGAGAAAAUUCGCUCUCUUUGGACCUCUCUAUUCAUACGGUGUAAGAUUUCUGUUCACACUGAAAUAGAUGGAGUGGAGUAAAACAACCACAGUAGGGCUGAGGAGAGAAUGCUUCCAAGAUAGUGAAACACCGAUUGCGAUUGGCAAUAAUUGGUAAAAGCUUGGUUGUUUCUGGGAAACAUUUUCUAUCCGGCUCAGAAACAAACAUGUAAAUGGCACAGAGUUCUAAAGUGGGCAGUUGCAACCAAUACCAAAGGAGGCCUGUGGGCACAUGCCUGUGCAGGCCUGUACGUGUGUAUGGGUUUUCUGCUGCCAGAGGCUUUACAUCUCGGUGGCACCCAGAUAAUAAGGAGGAAGUAGUCAGAACUGCCUUGCUUGACUCACUCUCCGUUUUCAUGAUCAACCCCCAAACCAACCCAAAGCUUUGGUCUGGGAGCAGGGUUGUAACUUUUAAACACAACGAAAUAAAAUGCCCUCCCUCUCUCCCCAAGAGCAGGCAUUUGUAGCCUAGACAUAGAUUCAGGAACCAUGAGAGCAGAAAGGCUUCUAGAACCACUGAGACUAAAGCCUCCAGGAGGAGAGGAGGCGUCAGGCACAUGUCAGCGUGUCUUUUCAGAGGUCGGUCAGGAAGACCAUGCUGGCGAAGACAGCUCCCCUGCAGACCUGUGUUGCCCUUCUCUUUAGAAACAUGCCUGUUACCAAGUGUGUGGGGGCGUCUCCCAUACCAAGAAAUUCUCCAAUUCUCUGUGGAUACCAACUCUUGUGCUACAAUUUAUCUCAAUUCUGAAACUAUGUACCUGGAGGGAGCAUCACAUCAGGGUUUGGUCCCACGAGAUACCUCUGCUCAGAUGCCAAUCACAAGUAGUGAGUACCUAGGUUACCUAUAUUACCCACAGCUUCUGUCUGACUUGCCUACACAUUGGUGGUUCCCAUGAUGUUUCUUAAGUUUGAUAGUGUGCUAGAGGCUCAUGGAAUCCAGGAAAAUGGCUUACUUUGUAUUACAAAGACUACAGUAAAGGAUACGAAUGAACAGCCAGAUGAAGAUAUAUACAGGGCAAGGUUUGGGAAGGUCUUGAGCACUGGAGCUUCUGUCCCUGUGGAGUUUGGGGUGCACUAUGCUCCCAGAAUGUGGAUUUGUUGUUAAUCCACCUGGAAGGACACUCUCUGAACCCUGCCCUUUUGGUUUUUAUGGAAGCUUCCUUACAUAGGCACAAUUGAUUAAAUCAUUGGCCAUUUUGUGAUCACUUCAACCUUCAGCCCUUCUCUACUGCCUAGAGAUUGAGGGGUGAGGUGGGAGGUAGCAUAGGGCUGAAAGUGCCAGCUGUCUAAUCACUUGGUUGGUUCUCCUGGCACCCAGCCCUCAUCCUGAGGCUAUACAGGAACCCCCGCCACCAGCCAUCCCAUUAGCACACAAAAAGACACCUACCACUUGGUUUUUGGAACUGUCUACCAGGAAAUGGAGGCUGAGAAAAAACCUAUAUUUCUUAUUAUUACAAUAAAUAAAUAUUACAUUUUGAAUUAUUUUGAAAAGGAUUAGAGAGGCCCCAUUACCUAGUCAUUGGCAUUCUACUAGCUCUUUCUCAACUCACUACACAACGGAACUUCUUUGAUGAUAUGUCCCUGGAAUCAUCUAUGAUUUUUGUAGACUGCCUUUAUGGAAGAGACGUUGCUUGGUGAUCAGUGAAGAAGUCUGGUCUAGAUAGGAAGGUAAAACCAGGAAUGGUUUCAUUACCUGAUAAAAUAUGGAGGCAUUGAGAGAUUAGAGAUGGUUAUGAAGCCAAAAACAAAAACAGAUGAGUUUGACAGGAAAGGGAUGAUGAGAAAAAUGUAGGAUUGGAGAUUAUGUCUAGAGAGUGGAAUGUAAGUAUUCUGAUGUGGAACAGAUCCAGGUGAGGAAGAUGCCUAAGUAUCAGUGAAUGAAGUAGAAAGCAGUUGUUGACACUGAGUGUGAAGUCAUUGGGCUGGGGAAGUGGGCAGCUUAUUCAUGUGGCCAUAAAAGAUGCCAGAGAUGAGGGCAGGACUUGAGGUAAAACUGAAGAAUGCAAAGCAGGUGUCAAGUGUGUCCAUAAAUAUGAUGGAAGACAUCUUAUCAUGGACAAUGUAUUCACCAUGAAUAUGUUAGAACACAGCAGUGAUGAGAGAGGGUAGAAGCCUGACCAAUGGCUUGACCUGCAGAGUGAGAGGGAGUUUUGCAACAUAGUGGAGAAUAAUUCCCUGGAAAUAGCAAUAGGGAGCUAGAGAAUGCCAACUUAGUACUGUUACAGGACUUUUCCUUAGUUCAGCUAAAGAUGGGGUCCUUGUCUAUCCUACACCAUGAAAAUUUAGGCUGGCAGACAGUUCGAAGGGUGAGUAAAGUAGGGUUUUAUUGGGUGGAAAAGAAAAAGUGGGGAACAGGGACCCUCUGCAAAGCCAGAGUCCCCUGCUCUUGUGCUUCCUGCCUCACAGGUUGAACCCCAGGUUUCACGCAGGAAGAGGAGGGGCUGGGCUUUCUCCUCUGCUGCAAAAGGCUCAGACUUCCCGAGACUCCUUCCUAGUGUACAGGCUGGCUGGAGUUUUGCCAGGGAGCCCCUUCCGCCUGGCUGUCCCAGUGAAGUCAUGAAUUGCUCUUGAGAGAGCCACAUGUCUUCAAGACAGAGCUAGAAGCAGAGAGGGGCUGUUUGGUGAAGAAAAUAAACAUGUUGGGAAGUUUCUUUAGCAUGGAAUGGGAGUUCCCGAGGUCACAGUUAGAAGAUUUUUUUAAAAAGUUAGAAUGGGAACAACAGAUGGGAUGUAUUAGUUAGCUGUGGCUUCCAUAACAAAAUAAACAUACCACCAACUGGGAGGCUUAAACAACAGAAAUUCAUUGUCUCACAGUUCUGAAAGCUAGAAAUCUGAGAAUAGAAUGUUGUAGGAUUGGUUUCUUCUGAGAACCAUGAAGGAGAAUCUGUUCCAGGUCUCCAUCCUAGCUUCUGGGGUUUUGCUGGCGAUCUUUGGUAUUACUUGGCUUGUAGAUGCACCCUUCUGAUCUCUGACUUCUCCUUCACAUGGACUUCUCCUUGUGUCUCUGUCUCUACCUGGAGUUCUUUUUAUGAGGACGCUAGUCAUAUUGAAUUAGGGGCCCACCCUACUCCAGUAUGACCUCAUCUUAACCAAUUGCAUUAGCAACAGUCCUAUUUCCAAAUAAGGCCACAUUCUGAAGGUUAGGACUUCAACACAUCUUUUCUGGAAGGGCACAUUUUAACCCAUAACAUGGGGUAAGAGAAACAAAACACCCUAUUGUAAAAGACACAGAGAAGAAAGAUGAGCAGGGCUUUUUCUCUUUUGUAGGGGGUAGAGUAUAUAAUUACUGGUCAACAUGAGGAAAAAAGGAAGUGCCUUUUAAUCAGGCCAAAAUUUUUUUCUUUUGUAAAGAACUUCUUGCCUGCUAGGGUAUGAUGGCUAUUGUGUUUCUUCAAGCAGAGAAUAAUCAAGUGCCUUGGUCAUUUAGCUAUUCACCAGUAAGAAUAAUUUGGGUAUUAUUAUCUGAAACCAGUAGUCUUCAAUCUUCUACUUUGUGUUAGAGUUCUGAGUGAUGGCUGUAGGCUCCUAGGACAUUAUUCUAUUUCUUAGAAUGAGCACAGGCCUAUAAUCUUCUAAGUCAGGGAAACCUAAUUCCAUGAGGUUUAUGAUUGCUAGUGCCAUUCAGUUUUUGAUGUGAUAAUUCCUGUUACUACUGAUGGUAGAAAAUUAUCUAAAUAUGUUAAAAGAUAUUUGGCAAGUUUUUUCUUCUUCUGCUGAAUUACUGGUAUUGGUUAAUCAUUAAUAUAUAAGAAGAUUUAUAUAAUCAUAUGUAUGUUUUAUUUAAAAGUUUUUCAUGAAUACUUAAAAUUUUCUCCAUAAAACUGAUUAUGCCAAUUCAUUUACUUGUGCUUGGGUAAAUUCUUUCCAUGAUGUUGAAUAUAACCACUAAUCCCAACUGCCACUUAUGACAAAUUAGGGCUUCCAGGCCCACAAGUGCAGAUCCUGCAGGUCACAUGUCCCAAAGAUGGAAAUCGUGAUUUCUCCCAGGGGCCAGAUAUACAGACCAUAAUAUCAUCUCACACUCUGAGAAAGUCUCCCCUCUCCACAUUUACCGUGCAUCCUCUGACUUUACAGCAUCUUUAUCUCUGACCUCUAAGCAGGGUCACUGUUGUAAUAGCUGAGAGAAAGCUUUCAGGAAUGAAUGAGUGCUCACAGAAAUCAGGUAGCAUGCUUUGUCCAGCAUGAUGAUCAUUUCUGACAAUGCUGAUCGAGAGAAUUCUUCUGCAGUCCAUUGAUUUCAGUGUCAGGCAGAUGAAAAGUAGCAUAUUGAUGAGUCUUUGUCAUUACUUUACCAAAGGUGUCUUGUCAGAUAAAAGACCAAUAGAGGAAGCUAACUUAAGACAGGCCAUCACAUCAGUUUUCUUGGUGCUGAAGGAAAGAGAAUGAACUGUGAUAUUUAAACUAAUUGAUGACUAUAAAGAUACUCUUAAACUCAUACAAUAAAUUGUUUUGAUUUGCAAAAAGGGAGAGAGAGAGAUCUACAAAAAGGAUAAAGGAAAAUAGGCCAUAUAAGGAGAAGUAAUGAUUUUCGAUAUUCAUUCACAGCAAUAGUGAAGUUACAAUUGAGACUUUUAAAAUCUUUACCUGUCCUAAAUGCUUUUCUGUAUAGCAGGAUUGUGUAAAAUCUCUUGUGCAGUAUGUUUUGACUUCUAAAUAUUGGCUUCUAGAACUCAAAGUUGACAGUAAAGGCCACUAUGUAGUCUGCAUUCCCAAUUCAGAGAGAACCUCAGGCAAAAGUGUUGGCCUCCAGCUCCAAGCUUGGUGAGAGGUGGUGCUUGAGCGGGAUCAGAGAUAAGCACUUUUUUCAACCUCUCUCAUUCCUCUAUCCACCCAUCCUCUGUUUGUAUAAAGAAGACUGGAAAGGGGCUGAGAGGUUACUUUUAAAGGGCCUUGUCCUAGGCACUUACUGAUUUCUUUUCUAAAGCUGAAGGGAGUAGGAAACCAGAAACUGUGGGUAUCAAUAAGAAAUGGAGACUUGUUUUUCUCCUUGCUGUCUUCUGAGCAAUAGAGUUUGCAGAUUUGCUCUGGUGUUUUAGGGGCAAGAGCACUAAAGGAAGAUGAUGGGAACACUGAGGCCAGAUGAAGAUGGCAUGAAUCAGUCCUCUUAAGUAUUUCAUGCUUCCCAGAAAUGGGCUAGGAGAGGGUACAAAAUAUAACUGAGAAAGAAAGACAUGGUUGCAAGCUUGCUGGGAUCCAAUGCAUGCUGGGAAGUGAUAUGGUAGCUAGGUGAUAUCAACUUUUGAAGAUGUAUUCAGAUUUCUGAAGGAA
ensembl:lncRNA